GACGAACGCUGGCGGCGUGCUUAACACAUGCAAGUCGAACGAAGUGGCGAACGGGUGAGUAACGCGUAAUCAACCUGCCCUUCCGAGGGGGACAACAGUUGGAAACGACUGCUAAUACCGCAUACUGAAGGAGGAGAUUGCGUCUGCUUAGCUAGUUGGAGGGUUAGCGGCCCACCAAGGAGAUGAUCAGUAGCCGGUCUGAGAGGAUGAACGGCCACAUUGGGACUGAGACACGGCCCAGACUCCUACGUGAGGCAGCAGUGGGGAAUCUUCCGCAAUGGACGAAAGUCUGACGGAGCAACGCCGCGUGAGUGAUGACGGCCUUCGGGUUGUAAAGCUCUGUUAAUCGGGACGCGGUACCGGAAUAGAAAGCCACGGCUAACUACGUGCCAGCAGCCGCGGUAAUUC
rnacentral:rRNA from 1 species